UUAAUUGAAGAGUUUGAUCAUGGCUCAGAUUGAACGCUGGCGGCAGGCCUAACACAUGCAAGUCGAGCGGUAACAGAAAGAAAGCUUGCUUUCUUUGCUGACGAGCGGCGGACGGGUGAGUAAUGCCUGGGAAUAUACCCUGAUGUGGGGGAUAACUAUUGGAAACGAUAGCUAAUACCGCAUAAUCUCUUCGGAGCAAAGAGGGGGACCUUCGGGCCUCUCGCGUCAGGAUUAGCCCAGGUGGGAUUAGCUAGUUGGUGGGGUAAUGGCUCACCAAGGCGACGAUCCCUAGCUGGUCUGAGAGGAUGAUCAGCCACACUGGAACUGAGACACGGUCCAGACUCCUACGGGAGGCAGCAGUGGGGAAUAUUGCACAAUGGGGGAAACCCUGAUGCAGCCAUGCCGCGUGUAUGAAGAAGGCCUUCGGGUUGUAAAGUACUUUCAGUUGUGAGGAAGGCGUUGGAGUUAAUAGCUUCAGCGUUUGACGUUAGCAACAGAAGAAGCACCGGCUAACUCCGUGCCAGCAGCCGCGGUAAUACGGAGGGUGCGAGCGUUAAUCGGAAUUACUGGGCGUAAAGCGCAUGCAGGCG
rnacentral:rRNA from 1 species